rnacentral:rRNA from 1 species
GAUGAACGCUGGCGGCGUGCCUAAUACAUGCAAGUCGAGCGAACGGACGAGAAGCUUGCUUCUCUGAUGUUAGCGGCGGACGGGUGAGUAACACGUGGAUAACCUACCUAUAAGACUGGGAUAACUUCGGGAAACCGGAGCUAAUACCGGAUAAUAUUUUGAACCGCAUGGUUCAAAAGUGAAAGACGGUCUUGCUGUCACUUAUAGAUGGAUCCGCGCUGCAUUAGCUAGUUGGUAAGGUAACGGCUUACCAAGGCAACGAUGCAUAGCCGACCUGAGAGGGUGAUCGGCCACACUGGAACUGAGACACGGUCCAGACUCCUACGGGAGGCAGCAGUAGGGAAUCUUCCGCAAUGGGCGAAAGCCUGACGAAGCAACGCCGCGUGAGUGAUGAAGGUCUUCGGAUCGUAAAACUCUGUUAUUAGGGAAGAACAUAUGUGUAAGUAACUGUGCACAUCUUGACGUUACCUAAUCAGAAAGCCACGGCUAGCUACGUG